UUACCAUUGAAAGCAGCGAGGGCAGGAAUCCCAGCAGGGCAAGAACCUUGAGACAGGAUCAGAAGCCAUGGAGGAGUGCUGCUCACUGGCUAGCUUAGUCUGCUUUCUCUUAGAACUGGGAACCACCCGCCCAGCGGUGCACUGCUCACAAUGGGCUGGGCUGUUCUGAGGUCAAUCGCUGAUUAGGAAAAUGUUCUCUAGGCUUGCCUACAGUAGGAUUGUAUGGAAUUUCCCUCAACAGAGGCUCCCUCCUCUCUGAUGACUCUAGCUUGUGUCAUACUGACAUAAAACCAGCCAGCACAACAGGUAUACAAUCAGUUCCCUGGGGGUGGAGAGAGUUUCUGGCAUAAACUCAGUACCUGUGUGCCAGGUAGGGGCUUUCACAGACCCAGGGACUGACUAUGCCUGAACUCCGUUACUCUUGAUAUCAAUCUAAGAAUGAGGAGUUAUUAUGUCAAUUUACUAGAUAGUGAAACUGGGGUACAAGCUACCAAUUAUAGCAAGUAGCACUGUAAAGCUCCAGGGAGCCUUAGCUUACUGGGGACCCCCAGAGUAAACCACGUGGAACCGGGAUCUAUGCAAAAAGCAAGAGGAAUUUAUUAUUCCAGUGCACUGAGGAGACCUGAAGGAGAGGCGGAGACCCCCAGCAGUCGUUUGGGUGCGUUAAACUGGGAAAUGUUUGACCUUUUCUAACUCCGCAGUGCAGGUGGCUUCUCCGAGGCUGUUGACAGCCUUGCAGGUGUACUUGGCGUCAUCAUCCCCACAGACGUCGCUGAUGAUGAGCGAGCAGUUGCCGUCUUCGUCGUAGUCUAUCUGGAAGUGGCGGGACUCCCUGAUUGAUUGGUCAUCCUUGAACCAGACCACCUCAGGGUCUGGGUAUCCUGCAGCACGGGGAGAGACACACAGCACAGAACCCGUCAUCCAAUAUCCUUAUGAACUCAAUCAAGAGGCUCUCAGGGUACCCCUGUUGAUUAAAGCACGAGGUUGGCUCCUAGGGUGCAUCUCCAUAUUUAUGGACAUAUGUUGCUAAGACUCGUUUCAGAAACCUCAAAUAGAAUAUUCUAAGUCUGUUUUUGUUUGAGACGGGGUCUUGGCAUGAAGCCCAGGUUAGUUUCCAACUUUCAAGCCCCCCUGCCUCAGCCUUUUUGAGUGCUGAGAUUACAGGUGUGCACAAUGAAUUGUCCAUGACUCUUACAAUGCCACGUUGUCAGAUGACGUAGAGCACUGCAGAAAUAUGGUCCAGGUUCUAACUGUACAACCAAGGCUAGACAUCUUCUUGAUGAAAGUGAAAUGUUUUGAAAUUAAACACAUCCAAGCUUAACAGGUACAAGGGAUCUUUUUUAAGAGUUGCACAAAUUCUAAAAUUAGGUUGUGAUAGUUGUAUGAUAUGAAUUUGUGAAAAGAGUUCAUUUGCAAACCUAAAAUAGAUUAGUUUAUAGUAUGCAAAUAUUAACUCCAUACAGCGGGUAAUGGCUGUAUAAAGUGUCAGAGGACCUGGUAGGCAAUAUUGCUAAGAGAGAGAAAACCUUAGUUUGAUUCUUAAACAGGUAAUCUGCUUGUCUGUCUCUACAGAUGGAUCCCAUUGGCUGCCCUUAUGUCUAGCCAUGUCUCUAUAAAUAUCGGUGUUAAAAACAUAUGGAGUAAAAGCACAUAAAUACAUGUGUAUUAUAUAUUUUAGGAUUGUGUGUGUGCAUAUCCGCCACCAGUUUUGCUUAUGUGUAUCUUUAAAUAUGUAAUGUAUUACAACUGACUUGUUCCUAAAUUUUGUAGAGGUAUUUUUAGAUGAGGAAAAAAAAAAACCCAAAACUGUAGCCCCUGGCAUAUAAAAUUAUACACAAAGCUCAAGAAUUC
rnacentral:lncRNA from 1 species